GAUGAACGCUAGCUACAGGCUUAACACAUGCAAGUCGAGGGGCAGCAUGAAGUUUGCUUGCAAACUUUGAUGGCGGCCGGCGCACGGGUGAGUAACGCGUAUCCAACCUUCCCCUUACUAGGGAAUAGCCCGGCGAAAGUCGGAUUAAUGCCCUAUGUUCUCCUUUGCGGGCAUCUAACGAGGAGCAAAGAUUCAUCGGUAAGGGAUGGACCUGCGUCGCAUUAGCUAGUUGGCGGGAUAAUGGCCCACCAAGGCGAGGAUGCGUAGCCGAGCUGAGAGGCUAAACGGCCACAUUGGGACUGAGACACGGCCCAGACUCC
rnacentral:rRNA from 1 species